rnacentral:rRNA from 1 species
UGGGGAAUAUUGCGCAAUGGGGGAAACCCUGACGCAGCAACGCCGCGUGGGUGAAGAAGGCCUUUGGGUCGUAAAGCCCUGUUGAUGGGAACGAAAUGGCACUCGGAUAAUACCCGGGGGCCUUGACGGUACCCGUUUAGAAAGCACCGGCUAACUCCGUGCCAGCAGCCGCGGUAAUACGGAGGGUGCGAGCGUUGUUCGGAUUUACUGGGCGUAAAGCGCGUGUAGGCGGGUCGUUAAGUCAGAUGUGAAAGCCCUGGGCUUAACUCAGGAAUUGCAUUUGAAACUGGCGGCCUUGAGUACGGUAGAGGGAAGCGGAACUCCUAAUGUAGAGGUGAAAUUCGUAGAUAUUAGGCGGAACACCGGUGGCGAAGGCGGCUUCCUGGACCGAUACUGACGCUGAGACGCGAAAGCGUGGGGAGCAAACAGG